UUCCGAUGCCGUACAUUGGCAUUGUGAGCCAUCUGUACCACUGUUGCAUUGGCAUACACCACACUGGAAUGUACAUUAACAUAGUAAAAAUAGGUAAUAUAUGAGAUGGCAAAGUAGUUAGAGUACUGGAUUCGUAACCAGAGGGAUACCAGGUUCAAAGCUUGGAGCUGCUACUAAUGAGUCUGCAAGAAACAAAAUAUCUGUUAAUGAAAAUACUGGAGGACCAUCAUUAAAGUCUUAUGGACCCAUCCUACUACUAAAUGUUCUUUGUUUACGACCAAAUGAGACGAUA